UUUGUUGGCCCUUCGCUUUGUCAACCUUUUUUAAGGUCGUGGCCGUUAUUGCGACAACGGAGUUUCAAUUAGGUUAAGGAGGACGACUUUUUCUGGUCAAUCUACGGCGUAAGCCGUUGUAGUGUCGAACCGAUAGGAUUUCUUUUCUCUUGCAAUGGAAAAUCAGCAACGUAACGGAACUCAAACCGGAUUCAAUCAAUGUCAUUAAAGUUUUCCUUAACUUCAUCUCCCCCACUCCUUCCAUGAUUCUUCAGCUCCCACCUAGCUUCCAGUCGGUGAAACUACAUAUAUAAAUAGAGCACAAUGGAAAAGUCCUCUCGCCUGUGAGCUCUUGCAGGAAGCCCGAGACUUCACGGCGGAAGAUAAUCGUCGAAAAGGAGUGUGGCACAGUAGGAGGAAGAAAGCGGCGGCGAUGGAGGAGAGAAAGAGGAUGAAAGUGGUUAAGAAUAAAGAGAAAGCCAUUGAUGAUAGUGAGGAAAGGUAUUAAUGGUGGGUUGGACGGAGGUUUCUGCAUAAAGUAGGCCUUUCUGACCAUCUCUCUCUGUUCUUCUCUAUUGGUUUCAAUUGGUCGAUCUAUCAUAGGAAUGCUUUUCUUUUAUCCCCUUUCAAGCUAAUUGUUAUUUUCAGGGAUGAAUUGAAGUUGGAAGUGCAGGAUCUACUGUCCGAUCAUUUCAGAUUGCUUUGUUUGCAAUUGGGGAAGCUUGAAGAUCAUCAACCACCAUCCCUACUUCAAAUGGAGUUACAAAACGUAGACAUAUUCUCAGUCGUCGAUAGGUGCACAGGAGGUGGUGACGGUGAGAGAUCAGCUGGAGAAGAAGGAGCGAGAUCCAUGAUUAUCGAGUGAGAGGAGACAGAGCCAGAGAUUAACGACGCACAAGCAGAGACUUUGGACCUUGGAGUGAAGACCAGAUCUCCAAUCGAAAUCAAUGGUCAGAAUCGUCUCCGCUUAUGAAUGACGGGGCCGAGAUUCACACGUGUAACUAACCACUGUUCCCGUAAGGAUCAAAAGCAAAAUCGAGCUUGCAAGAAAAUUCAUAGCGGUACCAGUGAGAGAGAGAGACCAGAACUCAGAGGUUUGUCCGCUUUGGGUCAAAGAUCAGAGAGAUAAUACAAUCAUUUUUUGCAAUGUGUAAUCUUUUUAUUCGUGUACAAACGUCAACUUUGCUUAAAUGAUUAUCUUUCCUAUGCCAUUAGUCGGGUUGUAUCAGUGAGGCCCAAUUUUUUUUCCUAAAAUUACAGGUGAAGCUAGACAAACAAUUUUUUUGGUUGAUGAUAUGACACUUACAAGGGAAGAAAUUGGUUUUUCAGCUUUUUCUAUUAUUAUUGUAUCUACUAUCUUAUAUGCUUCGUGAGAACCAUCCAGCUGAUGAGGGGCUGUAAUCUCUCUGUGGACUCAAACCCAAAUUGUAGAAACAUUGGUCCCGAUAACACCAUGUGUGAUGCUGCUGCAACACCCGAAGGCUGUUCAGAAGUGUCCAACCAAUUCCUCCGCAAACUGAUCCACUGGCCAACACGAAGGAGGAACAACGGAUGGUGACAAGGAUCCAAUCUUAAGAAACUACAAGGGGUCCUGAUCACUCCAACUAUGGAGACAAUGAAGCUGGCCAAAAAUUUCCCAAUUCCAUUUCCGGUUGCUAAGUUUUUACCAUUCACUGAAUAAUGGAGUUGUCUUGCAACUUUUUAAAUAAUCAGUUCUGAUUUUUUUUAGGUAAAGUAUAAUUGGUAUACCUGGUAACUUUCGUAUAUAUGUUGUGAUUAUGAAACUUUUUGGUUAACCAGAUUUUUGGUUUCGUACUGUUUUGGUAUUAUAGUGGAAUCAGUUAAAAAAAUAUAUAGCAACAAUAAACACCACUAUUACAAUAAACAGAUGUAAUUUAAAUAUCAUAUAUACGAAAUAAUUGUUCAAACAUAAUAUAUAACCCAUCCACUAAAAAAUUAAUUUAAAUAUUUAACGAAGUUCAAUGAACGAACCUAAUUCAAUUGUAAUAUUGAAGAUUAAAGUAAAUAGCAGUAAAGUCUAAAUGAAUACAAAAAUAUACUGUAUAAUAAUUUGAUAAGAAAUAAAUAAAAGCAAAUAAAAUAAAAAAAAACUCUCUUAAUAAAAUUUCAUUAUUUUAUUCAGAUUCUGAAUCGUAACUAAGCAUGGUAUUAUGCAAUUUAGUCAACCAUCUGUGAUUCUCAAUAUUUAAAUAUCAUAUAAAAGUAAAUAAUUUAUAAAAUAAUUGCUCAAACAUAAUAUAUAACCAUCCACUAAAAAAAGUCAACUUAUAAAUUAGACAAACCUGUGAUUUUUAACAAAAAAAAUAAAAAAAAUAGUGAACGCUCUAAAUACUUAGUAUGAGUAUUUUAAAUGUACGUAAAAGAAAUAUGUAUUAUAUUGUUUCUUCACUUAAUCUAAAUAUGUAUUCUAUGGUUUCUUCACUUACACACCCGUCUGUAGGGCGGGUUUACCCUAGUUUUUAUAUAUAAAAUAGAGUUUCUUCUCUCUUAGGCGCGCCACAUCAGCAUCCACCGUCAAAAGUCGGAGGUUGGGAGUGCAACACGUGUCCCGUCGGCAUCGUUUCAUUUAUUUAUGUUUGUGUUUCGUUUGGGCUUUGUCAUUAUAUUGGUCCAUUAAGCCCAUCUUAAUAGAGUAGAUCGAUAAGCUUGGAACGCGUCGUUUUGAUUCUAUGGUUUAAUCCCUUUUUCUUCACCCCGUUGCGAUACGGACGAUCUCGAUCCCGUUGUUUCAUCUGCUUCCUCACAAUCCAGGAAUCCACCAGUUACAGAUCCAUCUUAUUAAAGUCGUUUUUGGAUCCAUCAUCCACGAUGCGCGGUGAUGAACUCAUGUCUGUCGAUAUGCUCUUGAUUGAUACGAAGGUGAGUCCGUUUCUAAAAUUCUGAUUACAGUGAUGUUAAUUCUUCCGGUGACAUUCAAUAAGAAUUUCAUUGAGCAUACAAAUUCGUUUCUUGAUUUUGACAAAUUACGUGUGAUGUAAAGUAACUGCUUUACAUUGAGCUUGAAAAGGUAAUUACGCUUAAAGUCUGUUUUGAUUAUUAAUUUGGCACCUGUAUUAAAAACGAUUCUUGAUGGUAGUAGGAGCAAGCAAAGCUUCAGAUUUGCGGACACCCCUGUUUCCCUCCUAUUCGAAGAGGUCCCUGAGAGCAUAAACUUUAUCCACAAGGAGCUGUUUCGGUUUCAAGGUUACGAGGAGUUGAUGUCAGUAGCUAAUACCAACUCUGAGUUGCCUGGUUUUGUUUAAUUCACCACGUUCCAACUCCAUCUUCUUGAUCCUUGAUAAUCAUUUCAUACACACCCAUAAUUCCAUAUAUAUGUUCUAUUCCAGAUAUUUUGGUAAGUUAUGGGUUUUACUUCCACUUUCAAGAAGAAACACAAAAGACUCAGUGAAUUAUGGCCAACCUCUGCAUCCAGAGGUAGAGGUAGGUGAUGACAACCCCGGCCAUGAUAUGCCAGGAGCUGGAGCUGUAACAACAGACCCUUCUCAAAGUGUUGAAAGAGGUAUUCAUGACAACAGAAACAGACCCAGUAACCAUGUGAUGGUGGAAAGCCAUCCCUGUUUCAUCUGACAUGUCUUCUGCGGAGUCCCUCGAGGCAGAUGGUGUUCACUCUGCGAAGAAGCCACACCAUGGUUAAGCUUUAGAUUAUUGGAGUCCAAUUCAAGGGAGCUCAAUCUCACGACUGCUUUCUUAACCAGUUUUUUUUAAUAUUUCAUAAACCGGAUAAGUAUCACUUUAGCUAUUUUCCUCAGUGUUUAACUUUUAAAUGUAUUUCCUCUUCUUUAUGAAUUCUGCAGCUUCAAAGAAGCUAUGUUUGCUUCCUUUUUAAACUAUUUUAAACCUUAUAACUAGUUUGAUGCCC